AAUGGUUUAUUGGCGGGUAUCGAGCCGUGACGCGGACUCGAACAGCCGAGCUGAGAGCGACUGCAGGAAGACUAUAGGAAAGGCUCAUUAGCCGCAGACAGUUGACAGGACAAAGCUGGAUUGUUCUUUCCCCUCUUCUCAGCCUCAAUGUAGAUCCCCGUAUCACCCUUUAGUCCGCCAUCAUCCGUCGUCCACGAAUUAAGCAUCUUGCUUCUCGGGCUCGUCAACCGGCAAUCCAAAUCAGGCGAUACGAUAAAUGCUCUCUAUCGCGCGCUCCGAAGCGUCACCGACUGCCGAACGUCGGAUGGACGAACGCAGGGAAGAGUAAUUCGAUUUCUUUUAAUGACGUGUCCGAACUACGAGAUAGAAAGUGAGCUCAGUGACAAAUAAUAUCUAUGGAAAAUAACUGUCAGAGAGAAAUAUGAACACCGUGUUGACUCAGAAUUAACGGAUGACUAAUUAUCUGACAAAAGGUCGGAGAACUUGAUGCUGUAUUUCAAAUAUUCUUUGAUGAAAUGAGAAUAAAUUUGAGGACCUACUUUUGAAUAUAAAAGUAGCCUAACGAUAAAUAACUUUUAAUUUUUAUGUAUCAUAACACUCAUCCCGGAAUAUAUAGAUGUAUCCCAUCGUAAGGACGAUUUCACUUUUGCAACAAGAAAGAGAAGAUGUUUCCUGUGACAUCGCAUAUGCCAGGUAGCGGAAUCCAUUGUGCCACUUGUUGCAGUUUCGAAAUAACUUUCUUCUCACAGAGCACAGCGACAUAAUUCAAUUUACCUAUAAUAAAUUGUAUUUCAAAAUAUACAAUUAAGAAAAGAAUUGUAACGCUAUCUGUCAGCGAUUAAUUUAUAUUUCAAUGUAUAACAUAUCGAAGUGAUUUCGCUUUUAACUCGUGUUA